rnacentral:rRNA from 1 species
AACGAACGCUGGCGGCAUGCCUAACACAUGCAAGUCGAACGAGACCUUCGGGUCUAGUGGCGCACGGGUGCGUAACGCGUGGGGAUCUGCCCUUUGCUUCGGAAUAACAGUUAGAAAUGACUGCUAAUACCGGAUGAUGUCGUAAGACCAAAGAUUUAUCGGCAAAGGAUGAACCCGCGUAGGAUUAGCUAGUUGGUGGGGUAAAGGCCUACCAAGGCGACGAUCCUUAGCUGGUCUGAGAGGAUGAUCAGCCACACUGGGACUGAGACACGGCCCAGACUCCUACGGGAGGCAGCAGUGGGGAAUAUUGGACAAUGGGCGAAAGCCUGAUCCAGCAAUGCCGCGUGAGUGAUGAAGGCCUUAGGGUUGUAAAGCUCUUUUACCCGGGAUGAUAAUGACAGUACCGGGAGAAUAAGCUCCGGCUAACCUCCGUG